rnacentral:lncRNA from 1 species
GCCUAGUGGUAGUGGAAAGGGGCUUGUUCUAAAUAACAAAUCAGCCGUUUCACCUUUAUGGCUCUGAAAAGAUGUCAGGCACUGAGAGACGCUGUAAAAUCUGUUGAUAACAUCUCCGCCACCACAGCUAUGUUAUAGCCUGAUCAAGAGAAACCCAAAGGCUGAGCUUCUGUAUAGUCACUUUUACUAUCUGCUGGACAGACCGCAUCCAUGACAAUUCUCCCAGGACUGAAUCCCCCUCUCCAAAGCCCUAUCUUUCCGUGGAACAGAACUGAACAGAGAUAAUAGAGCAGCGGAGAUGGCUGAAGAAAUACCUGUAAUACAGCGCAUCUUAAAAUGAGAGAUGAUUAUGCUGAGUGAAAUAAGUCAAGCAGAGAGAGUCAAUUAUCAUAUGGUUUCACUUAUUUGUGGAGCAUAACGAAUAACAUGGAGGACAAGGAGAGUUAGAGAGGAGAAGGGAGUUGGGGUAAAUUGGAAGGGGAGGUGAACCAUAAGAGACUAUGGACUCAAAAACAA